UACGUAGGGUGCGAGCGUUAAUCGGAAUUACUGGGCGUAAAGCGUGCGCAGGCGGUUUUGUAAGACAGAUGUGAAAUCCCCGGGCUUAACCUGGGAACUGCAUUUGUGACUGCAAGACUAGAGUGCGGCAGAGGGGGGUUGAAUUCCACGUGUAGCAGUGAAAUGCGUAGAUAUGUGGAGGAAUCCCGAUGGCGAAGGCAGCCCCCUGGGUUAACACUGACGCUCAUGUUCGAAAGCGUGGGUAGCAAACAGG
rnacentral:rRNA from 1 species